rnacentral:rRNA from 1 species
CCUACGGGUGGCAGCAGUGGGGAAUAUUGCGCAAUGGGCGAAAGCCUGAUGCAGCGACGCCGCGUGAGGGAAGAAGGUUUUCGGUACGUAAAACUCUAUCGGCAGAGAAGAAAUAGAAGGUACCUGACUAAGAAGCCCCGGCUAACUACGAGCCAGCAGCCGCGGUAAUACGUAGGGGGCGAGCGUUCUCCGGAUUUACUGGGUGUAAAGGGGGCGUAGACGGCAGCGCAAGUCUGGAGUGAAAGCCCAUGGCUUAACCAUGGAACUGCUUUGGAAACUGGGCAGCUGGAGUGCAGGAGAGGUAAGCGGAAUUCCUAGUGUAGCGGUGAAAUGCGUAGAUAUGAGGAGGAACACCAGUGGCGAAGGCGGCUUACUGGACUGUAACUGACGCUGAGGCUCGAAAGCGUGGGGAGCAAACAGGAUUAGAUACCCGAGUAGUC